UGGGGAAUAUUGCACAAUGGGCGCAAGCCUGAUGCAGCCAUGCCGCGUGUAUGAAGAAGGCCUUCGGGUUGUAAAGUACUUUCAGCGGGGAGGGAGGUGUUGAGGUUAAUAACCUCAGCAAUUGACGUUACCCGCAGAAGAAGCACCGGCUAACUCCAUGCCAGCAGCCGCGGUAAUACGGAGGGUGCAAGCGUUAAUCGGAAUUACUGGGCGUAAAGCGCACGCAGGCGGUCUGUCAAGUCGGAUGUGAAAUCCCCGGGCUCAACCUGGGAACUGCAUUCGAAACUGGCAGGCUAGAGUCUUGUAGAGGGGGGUAGAAUUCCAGGUGUAGCGGUGAAAUGCGUAGAGAUCUGGAGGAAUACCGGUGGCGAAGGCGGCCCCCUGGACAAAGACUGACGCUCAGGUGCGAAAGCGUGGGGAGCAAACA
rnacentral:rRNA from 1 species